AUCUUCGAGGAUGCAAUUACCGGCACACGUUAUCAUAUUAUUUCUUGAGUGCUGAUUUAUCUGUGUAAUUGAACGGUCAUUCACAGUCAAAGUAUACUUAACUUUAUACGACUGAAAUGUUUCUGAUGUACUUCCCACGCUGUAGACUAUGAUACCAAAUUGCUCAGGCGAAAGGCAGGAAUCGUCAUAUUUUGUUUCAUGGCAAAGGUUUUAUGUCUAUGUGUUAAAAUUUGGCACUUUCAUUUCACGCACUAUUUUUUACCGAAAGCAU
rnacentral:lncRNA from 1 species